rnacentral:rRNA from 1 species
CGGUGAAUACGUUCCCGGGUCUUGUACACACCGCCCGUCACACCACGAAAGCUCGCUGCAACAGAAGUGCCUUUGGCCCGAAGUUGUGGUUGGUGAUUGGGGUG